CGUAGGGUGCGAGCGUUAAUCGGAAUUACUGGGCGUAAAGCGUGCGCAGGCGUUUUGUAAGACAGAUGUGAAAUCCCCGGGCUCAACCUGGGACCUGCAUUUGUGACUGCAAGGCUAGAGUACGGUAGAGGGGGAUGGAAUUCCGCGUGUAGCAGUGAAAUGCGUAGAUAUGCGGAGGAACACCGAUGGCGAAGGCAAUCCCCUGGACCUGUACUGACGCUCAUGCACGAAAGCGUGGGGAGCAAACAGGAUUAGAUACCCUGGUAGUCCACGCCCUAAACGAUGUCAACUGGUUGUUGGGUCUUUACUGACUCAGUAACGAAGCUAACGCGUGAAGUUGACCGCCUGGGGAGUACGGCCGCAAGGUUG
rnacentral:rRNA from 1 species